rnacentral:rRNA from 1 species
CACGUAGGGUGCGAGCGUUGUCCGGAAUUAUUGGGCGUAAAGAGCUCGUAGGCGGUGUGUCGCGUCGGCCGUGAAAACCUGGGGCUUAACUCUGGGCGUGCGGUCGAUACGGGCAUCACUGGAGUUCGGCAGGGGAGACUGGAAUUCCUGGUGUAGCGGUGAAAUGCGCAGAUAUCAGGAGGAACACCGGUGGCGAAGGCGGGUCUCUGGGCCGUAACUGACGCUGAGGAGCGAAAGCAUGGGGAGCGAACAGG